rnacentral:misc_RNA from 1 species
GAUGAAGAACGUAGCGAAAUGCGAUAAGUAAUGCGAAUUGCAGAAUUUCCGUGAGUCAUCGAAUCUUUGAACGCACAUUGCGCCCACUGGUAUUCCGGUGGGCAUGCCUGUUCGAGCGUCAUUAUCCUCCCUCAAACCCCGGGUUUGGUGUUGGACCCAAGUUGUGUGAACAACUGGUCUCAAAGACAAUGACGGCGUCCGUGGGACCCUCGGUGCAACGAGCUUUUAGGAGCACGCAUCGAGUUGCAAGGACCUUCCGGGCCGGUCUCCUUUACCAUUUUACAAGGUUGACCUCGAAUCAGGUAGGAAUACCCGCUGAACUUAAGCAUAUCAAUAAGCGGAGGA